CCUGCUCCUCUUCACCGAGCCGAGCUCGUCGUCCCUGCCACUACCUCGCUCCCUCGUCGCGCAGCGAGCUCCAUCGCCGACCUGCGCAGCAAGCUGCACGCUGCAGCAGCAGCCAUGAGAUCUCGUCCGUGUCGCCAGCGUCGACCCGAUCUGCGCAGCGGUGCCGGUCCACCGCAGCAGCCCCAUGCUGCGCCGUUGAUCUGCGCGGUUCGGCUGUCUCCGUGUCUCGCUUCGCCGAAUCUGCGCAGCGCCGACGUGCCAUCGUGGGAACCCGUGCCCUUGUCGACGUCACGCCUUGCGCAUCGCUCGUCGGCAAAGAGCCCAAACUAAUGGCAUGCAUGCGCGGCACGAGUCGGCCAGGACCGAGAGAUGAUGAUCGAGCAACUGAU